AUUGAACGCUGGCGGCAGGCCUAACACAUGCAAGUCGAGCGGUAGGGAGAAGCUUGCUUCUCUUGAGAGCGGCGGACGGGUGAGUAAUGCCUAGGAAUCUGCCUAGUGGUGGGGGAUAACGUUCGGAAACGGACGCUAAUACCGCAUACGUCCUACGGGAGAAAGCGGGGGACCUUCGGGCCUCGCGCCAUUAGAUGAGC
rnacentral:rRNA from 1 species